UACGAAGGGGGCUAGCGUUGCUCGGAAUCACUGGGCGUAAAGGGUGCGUAGGCGGGUCUUUUAAGUCAGGGGUGAAAUCCUGGAGCUCAACUCCAGAACUGCCUUUGAUACUGAAGAUCUUGAGUUCGGGAGAGGUGAGUGGAACUGCGAGUGUAGAGGUGAAAUUCGUAGAUAUUCGCAAGAAUACCCGUGGCGCAAGCGCCCACCUGGCCGAGACCUGACGCUAAGGCACGAAA
rnacentral:rRNA from 1 species